AAAGAGGUUAGUUUUGUGUUUGACUUUAAGUUAUAGGUCAAUUCUGCAAAAAGCCCUAAAUUAAAAUAUUGAAACUAUGGUUAGGCGAUAGUUUUGAACCAAAAAACAAUAUUAUAUCUAAUAUUUACAUUUAAUUUAUAAAAUUAUGAUUAAUUAAAAUAGAAAUUUUAAAUAAAAUUAUAUUACAUGAUCAACACUUAAAAAAAAUCAUGAAAUAAAAAUAACAACAAAUUACCUUCUCUAUUUUUAGUUUCAUAUAGCUAAAAUUUAUUUUACAAAAACUUUAUCUCCAAGAUAUAAUGGAAAAAAUUUUAAAACUAAAAUUAUCCAUUUUUUAACUGUCUAAAAUUAUCCAUUUAUAUUAAUAAUUUAAGCACAAACAGUAAAAGAAAAUCAGUUAAAAUUGGUCAAACAGAUAACUUUUAAAAUAAAAUAAAAUACUAUAUUUCUUUCUUACAAAAUUUUCAUUCACAUUUUCCACACAAAUUAAAAUAUGAUUUAAAUUCAUGUUUAUCCCUAAUAAUUACUUCUGUUUAACUAAUAUUCAUUGAGAUAUUAAAGUAUUUUUAAGAUUACAAUCAUUUUUUACAAUAAAUACUAAGGUUAAAAUAGGUAAAACCUUUAAAAUUAUAUUGAAAUUAGAAAAUGACAUAAUUUGUGUAAUAAGAAUAAAAAUAUCAACCAAUGCCAUUUAUGAAACAAAAUUUACAUACACGUAUAAAUUGGAUAUGUAAUCAUAAAAAUUUUAUUAGGUUCAAACAUAAUACUCAAAAUCUUAAUUAACUCUUUAACAUUAUGAACAACUUCAAAGGAAAGAUAAGUGUCAAGUUCAAUACAUGAGUUAGAACUACACCUUCUAUCUACGGCUGAGAAGAUAAUAAUCAAGGAAACACAGCUAAAAACAACUUCGCGACAUCAUAUGUGCUGUUUUUGUAUUCUAAACUCAGUUUUGAUAUUUUAGUAAACUAAUAAAAAAAAUCAUUACAAAAAAAUGCAAGAAAAAAUAUAUGCAACAUUCAAACAAAAAAAAAAAAGCAGAGCAUAUCUACCUUCAUAUACUAUGCCCUACAUAAUACAUAGCUUAUAUACAUAAAAAUUAUGCAUUAUUUUAUUUUCACACCACAAAAUUUAUUGUAAAAUUUUUAAAACAAUUAUCAGCGCGUAGCGCGGAAAAACGAUCUAGUAACAAUACUAAAAUGAAGAUAUCAAGUCCUCUAAGUGCAUCCACGUCAGCUGAAAAAAUCAGCCAGUAAUAUUGCAACAAUCAUCCACGUCAUCUUCGAUUUAUUUUGUUUUGGGCUUCGUUUGUUUUCGGCCUGUUUGUUCUCUCCUCUUAGAGUGUACACGUAAGCAGUUUUCUAUUUAGUGGGUCCCACCAUUUUCAAUAAACUUCCGAAACCUUAAAAAAUCGUUUGCCAACUAUUUUUAGCCAUUAAGUUAUUCAUUCAGUGGGCCAUUCGUAACGCUUAUACGUUUUAUUCAAAAUAUAGCUGAGACCCAAGUUUAUUAAAACUCUUCUAUGGCCCCAAUAAGCGUUACGCAAAUCCUAGAAGCGGAGAGGUGAAAUUCGUCGAUUGCUAAUCUGCUAUGACUGAUGCCAUCAUUAAAAAAAACUAUUUAAUUGCCAAGGAGUGGAGGAUUGGAGUUAAUUCAGGCGGUAGAAGAAAAAGAAGUGAUACGAAUAUGAUAGCAAGUCAUGAAAGAUAUUAGGUGAUUGGCUCUUGCCCUAUUUUAAAGAUGGUUUAGGCUAUAGGAGAUUAAAACAGUGUAGGUCUUCAUCACAUCCAGAACAUUUAUUUAUAGGUCGAGCUUGUAUCUGUUAUAGAUGUGAAUCUGAAUAAAUGAGACGGAGUGGGAGGAGAGGUGAGUGGAGUUUAAUGAUUGAAUUAAAGCAAGAAUUUAAGAAAGGGAGAAACGUUCCAGAAAAUGUCAUUGGAGAAGAUGGCUAACGAUGAGUUACGCCGUCAAACUGUAGAAGAGCGUACAACUAAACCUAAACACAAGGCGAGCCAGAAAGAUGAAAGUAUUAAAGCCCAAUGAAUAAACCGAAAGCUCAGCUACUCCUCCGCAAGUUAGAAAUACAAAAAAAAAGCUCUCCGAAUUAGAAGCAAAAGGAAAAUGAAGAAACUCUUUCUCUGCUCGACACGUAUCGCAAAAUGGUGGUAUGAGGGAUGACGUGGCGCAUUGUGGAGAGUUUCUCUUCUACUUUAUUAUUCAUGGUCUCUGUCCUGUUCUGUAAGGAAAAAAAAGAACAUGUUGAACACUAAACCUGAGCAGAACACAACAAAAACAAACAAUUAAAGGUUUUAACUAAGAAACAUUAUUCGUACAUAUACAGAGAACUCUCGAAUUGUUUCUUAAAUCUCUCAAAGACUUUUAAUCUCAAGGUAAGACAUCUAUGGAGUCAACGAAAAUGGGUACAUAAACUACAUAAAAGGAUACAAAGAUUCAACCUUUCUGGAUUUCUAGAGUUGUCGAACCCGAAGCAAACGUAAGAGGAACGAUCUCCACCAUGUCAGAAUCCUUCGAAGAUCUUCCUUAAUAUUGAUUCUUUAUGCUUCGCAAAAAAAAAAUUGAUUCAAAGAUGUAGAUGGUCUGGAGAGGAGGAAAGCAUACCUUUUUAUACCUGUAGAAACACCACCUAUCAGAAGAUUAACACACAUUGAAGUGUAAAUCGUGGCUAAAGGAGUUAAGAACAUGCUUAGUGCGAUGGAUCUGGAAGAAUUUGUUUCGAUUGAUGGAAAAAGGUGUAAGGACGUGAUCAAAACCCUCAACGAACCGAAUCGUCACGCCAAUUUAAGCAAAUUCGUCUCCUUUAGAUCGAAGAAUCAGAAAACCCUAGAAAUGGAUCGCAUCGCUCAGAGAACGGUAGUUCUGCGGCCACUGGAACUGAAGAACGGGACGCGUGACAUGCCAAAAACAAAGCCCAUAAACAUUCAUACAGCUUUAAUUGAAACGGUACGUUUUCGGUGAAGGGGGCAGGUGUCGCGCUGUGGGCAUCCGAAUUGAUGACGUGACACCCUGAUGACGGUCACCUCCGUCACGCCUUUACAGUUCAUCACCGGUAAUCUGUUUGGCCACAUCUGAGCGCGUCCACGUCAGCUGAAAAAAUCAGCCAGUAAUAUUGCAACAAUCAUCCACGUCAUCUUCGAUUUAUUUUGUUUUGGGCUUCCUUUAUUUUCGGCCUGUUUGUUCUCUCCUCUUAGAGUGUACACGUAAGCAGUUUUCUAUUUAGUGGGUCCCACCAUUUUCAAUAAACUUCCGAGACCUUAAAAAAUCGUUUGCCAACUAUUUUUAGCCCAUUAAGUUAUUCAUUCAGUGGGCCAUUCGUAACGCUUAUACGUUUUAUUCAAAAUAUAGUUGAGACCCAAGUUUAUUAAAACUCUUCUAUGGCCCCAAUAAGUCUCUAAGUCGCCUAAUCUUCAUCUUCAUCUUAGAUCUAGGUUUCUGUAUUAUAGCGACUCACCUCACAUACAUAUCCCUUUCCACUUCCUCCACUAAAUUCAUGAACUCUUCAUCUUCUUCUGUCUCUACAUCUUCCAGUCUUAACUCAGACUCUCAUUAAUGGUGGUUUUCAUAACCGACUCGAAGUUCCUCUUAUAUAUAGUUCAUGUUACACGCCGGAGACUAAUAUCUCAUAUCUACUCUCAUCCUCUUUGAACCAGCGUAGAUUUCAUUUAACCCUCGAGAAUGUCUUCCUCUGCUACUAAUUUUGCUCAAUCAGCCAUCCUUCGAGGCUCUCUGACUUGGUCGGACUUCUCCGCUUCUAGGAUUUGCGUAAUGGUUAAUUUGUGGCUCGGCUCCGUAUUGACAUAGUUGAAGCUUUCCUUAUAUGAGGAGAAGAACCAACACUCCAUCACCACGAUGGGGUUAUUGGAGGAGGCGUAAAUCCAAGCCCUAAAUGAGGUAGCUAUGGAGUCCCUAGCCAGGACUUCUCGACAAGAGUUUUGGUUUGCAAUCUACGCCAUGAAUCAUGGCCCAUGAUUGCAGGUUUAUAUAUUUGACCUAUUUUUAAUUUGCUUCAGCCAUUUUCUAUUUUCUUUAGGAAGACAUUACUUUUUGGAUAUCUCUUAAGCAUAGUCAAGCAAGAGGUUCUCUUAUAAUAUGUAGACAGAUUUUCAGAAAGUUGAUAAAUGUCUCAGACUUCUCUCCCUA